UUAAGAAUAAGCUAAAUUAAGCUUUUGGGCUCAUACCCCAAAUAUAAAGAUAUCUUUUUCUUAAU
rnacentral:tRNA from 1 species